UAAACUUAAAGAUUUUGGCGGUGUCUCAUCGAACCAGGGGAACCUGUCUCAUAACUCGAUAAUCCACGAACUCUUCACCCUCCCUAGAUCAGACAGCUUGUGUACUGCCGUCGUAAGCACACCUCUAAAAGCAUAAGUAUGCAAUUAUGAU
rnacentral:rRNA from 1 species